rnacentral:lncRNA from 1 species
CGAUGUAGCGUUCUAAUUGCACUGUGUUGUGGUGAGUCCAUCUGGGGUGGAGGCCAGUAGAUCGCAGUUAAGUCUGAAAGGAGACGAUAGAAAGACCCAAUGCUGCUCCUAAAGUCGUCCUUUCGAUGGUAUUCGCCGGACAUUCAAUCCAGUAAUGGAACGAUGUUUCUAGAGCGCCACAGUGUAGACAAGCCGGUGUCAGCUGUAGUUUGCGAGAGUAGUAUAGGAAGGCGUUCAGUAGGGCAGUGUUUGUACGUAGGCGAUAAAUUCUGGUUUCUGAUUCGCGGCUGGAACAACCGGAGGACGGCC